rnacentral:tRNA from 1 species
GGGUCCAUAGUUUCAAUGGUAAAACGUCGCUCUCCAAAAGCGAAGUUUCCCGUUCGAGUCGGGAUGGGCCCG